UACAGAGGUCUCAAGCGUUGUUCGGAUUCAUUGGGCGUAAAGGGUGCGUAGGUGGCGGGGUAAGUCAGGUGUGAAAUCUCGGAGCUCAACUCCGAAACUGCACUUGAUACUGCCUUGCUUGAGUACUGGAGAGGAGAUUGGAAUUUACGGUGUAGCAGUGAAAUGCGUAGAUAUCUGAAGGAACAUCAGUGGCGAAAGCGACUUCCUGGACCAAUACUGACGCUCAUGUGCGAAAGCGUGGGGAGCAAACAGG
rnacentral:rRNA from 1 species